rnacentral:lncRNA from 1 species
UUUAGAACUUGGAUAAUAAAACCUUAUUUUAAAUUUUGAGAAUUUCGAGGACGAAAUUUUUUUAAAAUGUGAGUUUGUAACUCCGUUACAUUAUAUGUGUGAGACGUCAUGAGAGAUUUUAUUGAGUUAAUUGUUAAUAUUUUGAUGAAUUACUUAUCGGUCGAUAUUCGUGACUAUUGACCGACUCUUAGUUACCUUUAUUGUGACCUUAAAAUUAUCCUGUAAGUUAAAGUGAGGUUUGUCGGAAGAUAUUUGUCAAGAUCUUUGAAAUCCGAGAUAAACCCUGCAGGACCCACCUCAAGGGAAAUUCUAUCAAUAUUUUGGCAUAACCUCCCUUGAAAAUGGGUAACCCUACUUGAAAAAUAAUCAACUCCUAACAAACACUUCUAAUACCAAAACAAUUAUCAUCUGCUGGAGCCACCCAUUCCCUCAAAUAAACAACCACCACAUCACACAAUAAUAUCAUCAAGCAAUUUCAUAACUUAACCUCUCGUAACAUCAACACCAAAUAAAUCUUUCAAAUCACUUCUAAGUUGAGUCAUAAACUUUUAAUACACAUUACCAUAAAUUAAUACAUCCUAUGGUUAUUAGAGCAACUAAUUGAAGGAAAAAAAUAUACAAGUAGGUUAAACCGGUAACCUACGAGUGAAAAAUGGAUGAGGUGGAAGAUAUGACUCGCCUCCUACACUUGCCGAACCAAACUCUGCAAACUGGGCAUUUAAAAACGAAAAGCCCAGGGGAGAAGCAUUUUUUUUUUUGAUUGAAAGGGGAGAAGCAUUUAAAAUGUUAGCGUGAGUGGACAAAAAUAAAUAACAAUAAUAUUAACUUAAAUACGGAGCAAUGAAACCAAAAUUUAUGCUUUCCCAAAUUUUCCGUUGAGAAACAUUUAUGCAUGUCACUCUUGCAAUUUUCCAAAAAUAUUUAUGGAUAGAAGUGAUGAACCAAUCCCAUUGGUUCCAAUAAAUCAUAAAAAUGGGGAAUAGGUUUCACCAUCACGAUGAGCCUCCCAGGCUAGGGUCGGAGCCUCCCAGGCUCUAAUAGCGUCCCAUGCUAAGUGCUUUACUCACUUAUGGUGAGAACCGCUAAUAAAGGCUAGCUAACAAUAAAUAUAAACUGAUCGGUGCCUCCCAUGCUAUAAUAGCGUCCUACGCUAAGCGCUCUACUCACCUAUGGUGAAGACAGCUAAUAAUGGCUAGCUAGCAAUAAUAAAUAUAUAUAAACCCUUUUAUAGUGAAGAAAGAUAAUAAAUAAUAAAAAUGAUAAGAACAACACUUCCCCAAAAUAUAUUAAAUCAUUAGUGCAUAGUACAGUUCUCAGCUGUACUUAGAAAUAUUACGUAAUAAUUGCGGAUUCUUUAAUAAUAUAAUUCACUUGACAUGUCCCACAUGUCAAAUAAAAUUAGCAAGAGUUACAAAAAACAAAUGGAACUCAUUAAUCCAAAGAAAAUAAUUGACACGACCCACCCCGAAUUUCAUCCUGAAACCUGGAGUAAGUCGUGCGGGGACCACCUCCAAGGAAAAUUUACCGUAAAGAUUUAUAAAACCUCCCUUGAAAAUGAACAACCCUAACUCGAAAAUUUCAAAUUUACUCUCUCAUUACAACACCUCCAAACAUCAUAAUAUUAUCCAGCUAAAAACAGCAAACAUUAUCCUUCAGAAAUUCUAAACAUAAAGUCAACCGACUGAGCACACCACCGAAAUAAUAUACAAAAAUCCCAAAGUAUUCAAAGUUACUAGACACUAGCGGAAGCAAGAAAACACUAGUAGGUUAAACAGGUAACCUACUGAUGAAAACUGGCGGAAAUGCGGGUGACUAUGCCUCGCCUCCUACUAGAUCCAACCCGAACUCUGCAGACUAGGCAUUUUAAAACGAAGGGCCCAGGGAAAGACAUUUGAAACCGUUAGAGUGAGUGGACAAAAAUAAAUUAAUAAACAUAUUUAUGCUUUCCCAUUUUAAUUUCCAAAGAAAAAUAUACUGCAUGCGGCAGCUCAAAGGCAUUCAACUCAUAAACUGGUAAUUUCACGACUAGCUCCGGUUAGUCACCAACUCAAAUAAAAUGGAGCCUCUCAGGCUAAAUUAUAUAUAAUCAUAAAUAUAUAUAUAUAUGUAUGUAUUUAUACUCGUCAUACUCCUUGUACGAAUUCUAUGAAGGAAUAAGCAAAAUAGAAAUUCAUACAAGGCUACUACGCUUGCGUCUAACGCUCACGUCUAACGCUCACGUCACACCAUAAUAGAAUUGUACCUCAGUAUGGCUGAAAAGCACGAGUGUAUAUACGUGUGGACUCCCUAUAUGAAAACCUAUAUGAACCAGAAAAAAAAUAGUUUUCAUAUAGGGCUACUAAGCUUGUGUCUAACACUCAUGUCACACCAUAAUGGUAUUUUACCUCAUUAUGGCGGAUCAAGCACGUAUGGCUAGCUAGCAUUUAUAUACAUACUAUACUCACAAUAUCCAUUAAACAUAUCCACUGAAAAUCUCAUUUUCAGGAUCUCUCCAAAGGAGGAAAAUUGCCAAAUAUCCGAGAAAGAAAUAAAUCUCAGGAAAAGAAAUAAAUGAUGAACAAAUAAUUCAUCGCAUGCUUUUCAAUUAAAACAAAAAUCCACUCACAAAUUAGGCCUAAGCCUGAUGACGCUCCGAGGCUUCCUCUGCUCGGGCCUCCUCUUGUCCUGUUCCAAUUACAAUAUUAAUUUCCUAGUCGAAAUUUCCAAUAAUUAAACAAAAUGGGCAAAAUUAAACAUGAGCCUCCCACACACUCAUCAUUGCCCAAAUUCGCCAUUCUUAACUCAAUACGGCUCAACUUCACCGAACAUAUCGGCAGCCGUAAAUACAACUUCCCACAGAAAACGACUUAAACCCCACGGCCGGAUUCUACAUUAAUUAACCGCCAAAAAUACCAAACUUCGGAAAUUCACAAACCUAUCCAAAACUCAUCCAAAAAUUCCAUAACUCACUCCAAUAAACUCCCCUUAAUAUUCCAAAUUUAAAAACAUUAAAAUCUCCCAAACAGCUUCGACGCCGGCAGCGGCGGUCGGAGGCCGAUUCCGGCGACCUCCAAUUCCUAUGAAAUUUUGACAGAAUAAUCCUCUCAUCAUGCUCUACAACUUUCCUAACUACCACAAACCCAAAAUCCAAGCCUAGCUACGCCAAUCGAGCAAAAACAUCCAAAUCGCCCUAGAACUUCCACCUCAAAUUUCUUCUUACCUGAAGCGAACCGGAGUGAGUCCUUUUAGAGCAAGGCAGCUGGGUUGGAGACCUACAAAACCAUACCAAGCUUGCCCGGAUUGGUGGUCGGAGGAGGGAGUUCCGGCGAUGGAAGACUUUGGGCAGCCCGAGGUUCUAGGCGGGAGAACUCCUUCACGGCGACGCUAGGGUGGCUGUCACCGGUCCAGGGAUGUAGCUGGGUCGGAGAGCAACCGAACGGGACCGGAGCGGCGGUGAACGGCGGCCAGACGGCGGCGGAAAGACAGCCAGAAAACCGGGCAGCGGGAGACUCGGGGAAGAGGGAAACCGGGAAGAAAAAAGAGAGGAGAGAAAAUGGAUUUGGGCCUCACACCCCAAACCGGUCCAAGCUUAUAUCAACCCAACUCAAAAAUAAAACACCCCGAAAAAAAUAAUACCCGAAUAAAAAUUACCUUUUACUAGCUAAAAUUUACCAUUUUUACCGCCGUCAUAAUUUUCUCCUACGAAUAAUCCUCCGCAUAUAAUCGUCCCCGAAACCCCUCUAGGGACCAAUUAAACUAUUACCUCAAUGACGGAGACGGUAAAAUUCUUAUUAUAACAAAGCUAGUAAAUAAGGUAAAAUAUAAGGGUCGGGAUGUGACAAUAAUAAAACUCUAAUAUGCCUUUGAAAUUAAGGAAACUUUAGCGCAUGCAUGAUAUUAAAAUUAAAAGUCCACUCACAGUGCUCGGCUAUGCUUGCCGACGAUCCGAGGCCUCCUCCACACGAUUCUCCUCACGUCCUGAACAAUAAAUAAUAUUAAAUCUCAAGACCAGAUUAAUACUUUAAUAAAAAUUCUAAAAUAAAAGGGAGCCUAAAAAUUCUUCUCCCUUGCCCAACUUCUCCACUUUUAAUCUAUUAAGGCCCGAACUUCACCACAAUCAUCAAUAGCCUUAAAACAACUUUUUAAAGUUUAAUUCAUACUAAUGCAACGGCCAAAUUUUUAUUCUAACAACCGUCAAAAUCCUCAAUCUUUGAAAAAUCCCAAACCUAACCAAAACUCCUCCAAAAAUUCCAAACUUCACAUCAUUAGAAUCCUUUCAUUAAAACAAACUCAAAAACAUGCAAAACUUCCCCUAAGAGGCGGCGCCGCCGUCUGCUCUGCGGGCAGUGGCGACCGGUAGCCUAACUCCGGCGACCUCUAAUGCUCACCAAAAUUUGACACAAUCUUUCUCUCAACACGUACAACAACUUUCUUAACUAGCACAAAGUCCAAUUCCAAGUCUAACUGGGUAAUUGAACCAAAACAACCAAAAAUCUCAAUUCUAAAACCCUAGAAUUUCCAUCCGAAAAUCCUCCUUACUUGAAAUGAAAUGGAUUGAUUCCUUCUGGAGUAUUGUUACACCAAGAAAGACCUUCAAGAUGAGCCAAAUGUCUCCAGCUAUAAUGGCUGGAGGAGGGAGAUUCCGGCAAAAACUCCUUUGCUACACAGUCACGCUUCCAGUCGAUUUUUCUCCCUCACGGCGGCAAGGCACGGCCAACCACCUGCCCAAAACGAUAGCAGAGACAAUGCCGAGUCUAAGGGGACCAGAGCGGUGGUUUGAGAUGGCCGGUCGGCGGCGAUCGGAGGUGGAGAGUCCAACGGGGUCGGGAGAGCACACGGGAGAGAGAGAGAGAGAGAGAGAGAGAGAGAGAGAGAGAGAGAGAGAGAGAGAGAGAGAGAGAGAGAGAGAGAGACGNNNNNNNNNNNNNNNNNNNNAGAGAGAGAGAGAGAAAUGGGCCUUUUUCCCACCCAGUCCAACAGCUUAGGCUAUCUCCAACAAGAGAGUCUAAAGGGCCAAUUCUUAUAUUUUAGCCCUAAUAUGGUCUCCAACAAUAAAUUAUAAGAAAAUUAUAAGAGGGCCAAAGGGCCAUGAAAAGUGUAAUACCCCGAAAAUUUGAUAUUAGUUUCUAAUAUUAUUUGGGAGUUUUCGAGUUAGAAGUUGGUGUGUUUUGGAGGUUCGAAGAAAGAGCGGAAGUGUUCGGACGCGUUUUUACCCGAAAACGGUUUUAUGGUUUCGAAGGGUCAAGAGUUGACUUUUUAAUUUGUUGGGUUUCUCGAGAAACUUCCUUCACGGAAGUUGUAGAGCACGACGAUACGAGUUCGUAGACACGUGGCACGCGUAAAACGGACUUCGUAUGUGGAAGUUAUGGUCAACAGAAGUUCGUGGCUUUAUGGGUUGCUUGGGUUAAAUAAGAGAAGUUAGAGGGUUCUACUUCAUUUUUUCCGGAACCCAUUCUCCUCUCUCUUUUCUUCUCUCUCGCGACACCUUCACAGUCCGAGUUUCCCAGCCGACCCGACCCGGACCCGGUUGACCUGACCCGGAUUUUCCGGCCACCUCCGAAUGACCCAGACGACGGCACCAGUCGGGUUCUCUUCCUCUCCUCCAUCCGAGCUGCCCUGUGGUGGUGACUUGCGCCGUUUCAACCCCGAAUCGGUGACCCGAAGCUCGGAAGCUCGGGUUAGAGACCCGGUCGAGUUUCAGACCUCCGGCGGCGGCGACAAGGUGGGAGACUGUUCGGGAUAGGAGCCCCGUGGCGUCCUGGUCCGACUUCUGGUGGCCCUGGAGCGUGACUCUCGGUGUAGAGUGGUGGUGGUGGAAUUCGACAUUCCCGGCGAGUUUCCGGCGACUUCCCGGCCGUUUUGGUUUCGACCUCAGGUAUGGAAGUUGCUCUCCUUGCUCUGAGCUAUACUUUUGGUGUUGGAAGUUUGUCUGUUUUCAAAGGUUAGUGGGGUGGCGCGUGGGCCCCAUGCGCAGUCGCUAGGGGCAGCGCGUAGCGGCGCGUCCGUAGGUGGUUGUGGUGUUUGUGUUGUGGGUUAGGUAGUACUCGUUGAUACGAUCAUGUUGAUAUAUGGUUUGUAGGUUUUGGUUACCGAUGAUGCAUGCUAGGGUUUCCCUCUUGAAUGCUAGGUUUCGUUCGGUUUCCAUUUUUAAGUAUAGGUUUGUGGUUUUAUAAGUUGUGUAGGAUGUUCAGGCGACCUUUUCGAGGUAUAGGGAGAGGUUUUGUCUCGAGUGACAAGUUUGUGGGUUAGGACUUGAGUUUUGGUUCGAGUCGGUUUAUGUUGUUUUCAUAGUUGCUAAGGUUAACGUUUUUGUUAAUAGGAGACUUGUGGUGUGAUUUUGUGCUAUAUGCUUGUGUCGUGCGUGCGAAGACGCAGCUGGAUUUGAGGUGAGUAACAUCUCACCAGGGUCCACUUUCGGACCAUUUAUUUUAUAAUUAUUAUGAUGUGAUUGUGAUGUGUUUUUUUGAAGAUGAUUAUGAUGAUGAUUGUGAUGUUAAUGAUUAUGAUGAUUAUUGUUAUGAUGAUGAUGAGGUUAAUGAUAAUGAUGGAAAUGUUGAUGAUAUGAUGAUUACGAUGCAAUCAUUAUAUUGUGAGUAAAAUCUCACUAAGGUCCACUUUGUGGCCUAUUGAUUUUGAUAUGAUGUUGAUGAUAAUUAUUAUGAUAAUUAUUAGGAUGAUGAAUAUGAUGGUGGUCUUGAUGAUGAUGAUUUUGAUGAUGAUUUUGUUGAUGAUGAUGAUAAUUAUUGCUAAUUGUGAAGUUGUCCUUGAAAGAAAAUGAUUUGUUUUUAAAUAUAAAUGAGUUUGAUCGUCAACGGCUCAUGGUAAGUGAAAACAAGUUUUCUGUUAAUAAAAUAAUCUUUCAAAAGGACUUCCGAUCAUGAGUAAUAAUUAGAGUUGGUAGAAUUAUUCUUGUUUUAAAUAUUUAUAUCCACGUGUUUAUGGUGCUUUAGUGGUGAAUGUUGCAUUAGUUGUGAAUAUGUGUGCCUUAGUGGUGAGUGAGUGCAUUCGUUGUGGAUUUGUUGCCUUACUGGUGAAUGUUUGCAUUAGUUGUGGUUAUGUGCCUGUGUGGUGGUUUUGAGUAUUAGAAUAGGAGCCUUCGUGGUGGACCGGGAACCAAGCCUUGGCCGGGUGAUUGGUUACGGUCAGUUUUAGAGCUCUAGUCUGUCGGUACUUCAUGGGGGAUGACUAUGUGUUGACGAACCUAUGAGUACGUGUUUGUCUAGUUACUUAUGAGGGAUGACUAUGCGUUGACGAACUCAUAAGUAAGGGUUGAGAAAUGAUUGUGUGGUGUUAUUAUUUAAAUUUCUUGUUUUAAGAAUCUCCUGAACUAUGCUUAAUGCAAGAGAUUCUUUAGUUUUAUUUGUGUGAUUUUUUAGUAGAAUCCUGAACUACGCUUUUUGCAGGAUUUCAUUAUGAUUUGUUUGGUUUUGUAAUUGUUGUCGUUUUNNNNNNNNNNNNNNNNNNNNUUUUGUCUCGAAUGACAAGUUUGUGGGUUAGGACUUGAGUUUUGGUUCGAGUCGGUUUAUGUUGUUUUUGUUUGUGACUAAGUGGAGAUUCUAUUCUAGGUGGUUGACGAUACGUGUUCGCAUCUUGCCUUUUUGCUAAGAGAAGACGCAGCAGGAGUUUUUGUUUAAGGUGAGUAAAAUCUCACUAAGGUCCACUUUGUGGCCUAUUGAUUUUGAUAUGAUGUUGAUGAUAAUUAUUAUGAUAAUUAUUAGGAUGAUGAAUAUGAUGGUGGUCUUGAUGAUGAUGAUUUUGAUGAUGAUGAUAAUUAUUGCUAAUUGUGAAGUUGUCCUUGAAAGAAAAUGAUUUGUUUUUAAAUAUAAAUGAGCUUGAUCGUCAAUGGCUCAUGGUAAGUGAAAACAAGUUUUCUGUUAAUAAAAUAAUCUUUCAAAAGGACUUCCGAUCAUGAGUAAUAAUUAGAGUUGGUAGAAUUAUUCUUGUUUUAAAUAUUUAUAUCCACGUGAAUAUGUGUGCCUUAGUGGUGAGUGAGUGCAUUCGUUGUGGAUUUGUUGCCUUAGUGGUGAAUGUUUGCAUUAGUUGUGGUUGUGUGCCUGUGUGGUGGUUUUGAGUAUUAGAAUAGGAGCCUUCGUGGUGGACCGGGAACCAAGCCUUGGCCGGGUGAUUGGUUACGGUCAGUUUUAGAGCUCUAGUUUGUCGGUACUUCAUGAGGGAUGACUAUGUGUUGACGAACCUAUGAGUACGUGUUUGUCUAGUUACUUAUGAGGGAUGACUAUGCGUUGACGAACUCAUAAGUAAGGGUUGAGAAAUGAUUGUGUGGUGUUAUUAUUUAAAUUUCUUGUUUUAAGAAUCUCCUGAACUAUGCUUAAUGCAAGAGAUUCUUUAGUUUUAUUUGUGUGAUUUUUUAGUAGAAUCCUGAACUACGCUUUUUGCAGGAUUUCAUUAUGAUUUGUUUGGUUUUGAAUUGUUGCGUUUUCUUAAUUUCUUCUUUUCAUUUCUUUUGAUGGUAAGUGUUUUCCUGAAUUCAUUUUAAUGCAUGAACUCCCAGUUUUAUUCAUGUGUUGUUGGAUUGAGUCAUUUUUGUAGAUUUACUCAUACGAGCUUUUAAAUCUUACCGGGUUUGUUGUUUACAACCCGGUGCACCAAUCCAUGGUGUAGAGGUUGUUUUUGCAGGUCAGGUUUAGCAGAGUUGAGGCUGCGGCAGCUUCAUUUUGUUUACUUUCUAGUUUGCAGUGAGUUUGAGGGAGGUUUUAUUUGGUUCAAAUUAUUUUUCCACAAGUUGUAAAAAUAAAUUGUUGUAUUGUUUUUUAUGCUUUUUGGUUAUCAUGCCUUGAAUUUGGAAUUUUUUUUAUUUACCCAAAAUUCGGGGUGUGACAAAAAGGGCCAAACUUAGCCCUUUGGCUAGCCUAGUCCAGACCAAAGAGUGGUCUCUCAUCAGAAUAAAAAAUUAGAAUGAUACAUGUGGGUUGGCUGAAAUUGACUCUAAGUAUGACAAAUGGCGUAUGACAAAUGGCAGCAUUUAAUUGGUUAUACCCAUGCAUCAUAUUUCCCAACGGAAAAAUUUUCCAAUGCAAUUAUGGGGUUGUUUAAUAACGGCGACUAGUUGUUCAUUAAAUCAAAUAAACAAUAUUUUUUCUCUUAAAUAUUUUUCUUGGUCUAAAUCUAAAUAAUGUUAUAAUAAAAUAAAAUUAUAAGUUUGAAAAUAUAAUGUGAAAUCAUAAAAUAUUUGAUUGGGCAAAAAUUUAGCCCUCUCUUACUGGAGAUCGUUUAGUAGUCUAUAAAUAAAAAAUAAUAUUUUUGAGGGCUAAAUUAUAGCCAUGGCCCUAAUAUAGCCAUCUCCUACUGGAGAUGACUUUAAUACCCCAAAACAAAGCCUAAUAAAAAUUUACCCUUUUUACUUGAUAACUUUUACAUGCUAAUUUCGAUUUUAACGUAUAGCAUGUCCACG